UUACGGCCACAUCACGUUGAAACACCGGUUCCCGCACGAUCACCGAAGUUAAGCAACGUCCAGCAAGGUCAGUAUCGAGAUGGAUGUCCUCUUAAGAAUUGCAAUGUGCUGUA